CGACGUUAGCUGCAGAAGAAGCACCGGCUAACUCCGUGCCAGCAGCCGCGGUUAAUACGGAGGGUUGCGAGCGUUAAUCGGGAAUUACUGGGCGUAAAGCGCAUGCAGGUGGUUUGUUAAGUCAGAUGUGAAAAGCCCCGGGGCUCAACCUCGGAAUUGCAUUUGAAACUGGCAAACUAGAGUACUGUAGAGGGGGUAGAAUUUCAGGUGUAGCGGUGAAAUGCGUAGAGAUCUGAAGGAAUACCGGUGGCGAAGGCGGCCCCCUGGACAGAUACUGACACUCAGAUCGCGAAAGCGUGGGGAGCAAACCAGGAUUAGAUACCCUCGGUAG
rnacentral:rRNA from 1 species